rnacentral:rRNA from 1 species
GAGUUGAUCCUGGCUCAGGACGAACGCUGGCGGCGUGCCUAACACAUGCAAGUCGAACGGAAUUAAGGGGCUUGCUCCUUAAUUUAGUGGCGCACGGGUGAGUAACGCGUAGAUAAUCUGCCUGAUGAUCUGGGAUAACACUUCGAAAGGGGUGCUAAUACCGGAUAAGCCCACGGGAUCUUUGGAAUCUGCGGGAAAAGGGGGGGACCUUCGGGCCUUCUGUCAUCAGAUGAGUCUGCGUACCAUUAGCUAGUUGGUAGGGUAAAGGCCUACCAAGGCUACGAUGGUUAGCUGGUCUGAGAGGAUGAUCAGCCACACUGGAACUGARACACGGUCCAGACUCCUACGGGAGGCAGCAGUGGGGAAUUUUGCGCAAUGGGCGAAAGCCUGACGCAGCAACGCCGCGUGAGUGAUGAAGGCCUUCGGGUCGUAAAGCUCUGUCAGUGGGGAAGAACCGCCGGGUGGUUAAUACCUGCCAGGUCUGACGGUACCCACAAAGGAAGCACCGGCUAACUCCGUGCCAGCAGCCGCGGUAAUAC